GAUGAACGCUGGCGGCGUGCCUAAUACAUGCAAGUCGAGCGAAUGGAUUAAGAGCUUGCUCUUAUGAAGUUAGCGGCGGACGGGUGAGUAACACGUGGGUAACCUGCCCAUAAGACUGGGAUAACUCCGGGAAACCGGGGCUAAUACCGGAUAACAUUUUGAACCGCAUGGUUCGAAAUUGAAAGGCGGCUUCGGCUGUCACUUAUGGAUGGACCCGCGUCGCAUUAGCUAGUUGGUGAGGUAACGGCUCAACAAGGCAAAGAUGCGUAGCCGACACGAGAGGGUGGACGGCCACACUGGGACUGAGACACGGCCCAGACUCCUGCGGGAGGCAGCAGUAGGGAAUCUUCCGCAAUGGACGAAAGUCUGACGGAGCAACGCCGCGUGAGUGAUGAAGGCUUUCGGGUCGUAAAACUCUGUUGUUAGGGAAGAACAAGUGCUAGUUGAAUAAGCUGGCACCUUGACGGUACCUAACCAGAAAGCCACGGCUAACUACGUGCCAGCCGCCGCAGUAA
rnacentral:rRNA from 1 species